rnacentral:rRNA from 1 species
AACGAACGCUGGCGGCAUGCCUAACACAUGCAAGUCGAACGAGACCUUCGGGUCUAGUGGCGCACGGGUGCGUAACGCGUGGGAACCUGCCCUUAGGUUCGGAAUAACUCCCCGAAAGGGGUGCUAAUACCGGAUAAUGUCUUCGGACCAAAGAUUUAUCGCCUUUGGAUGGGCCCGCGUUGGAUUAGCUAGUUGGUAAGGUAAAAGCCUACCAAGGCGACGAUCCAUAGCUGGUCUGAGAGGAUGAUCAGCCACACUGGGACUGAGACACGGCCCAGACUCCUACGGGAGGCAGCAGUGGGGAAUAUUGGACAAGGGGCGAAAGCCUGAUCCAGCAAUGCCGCGUGAGUGAUGAAGGCCUUAGGGUUGUAAAGCUCUUUUACCCGGGAUGAUAAUGACAGUACCGGGAGAAUAAGCUCCGGCUAACUCCGUG